rnacentral:rRNA from 1 species
UACGUUCCCGGACCUUGUACACACCGCCCGUCAAACAAUGGAACGUUGAGUGUGCCUUAAGACAAUAGCCGCAAGGAGUUGUCCAAGGUAAAAUCGAUAACUGGUGUU